rnacentral:rRNA from 1 species
UACGGAGGGAGCGAGCGUUAAUCGGAAUUACUGGGCGUAAAGCGCACGUAGGUGGCUUUGUAAGUCGGAUGUGAAAGCCCUGGGCUUAACCUGGGAAUGGCAUUCGAUACUGCAUCGCUAGAGUAUGGUAGAGGGAAGUGGAAUUUCAGGUGUAGCGGUGAAAUGCGUAGAUAUCGGAAGGAACACCAGUGGCGAAGGCGACUUCCUGGGCCAAUACUGACACUGAGGUGCGAAAGCGUGGGGAGCAAACAGG